rnacentral:rRNA from 1 species
GAAAGAAAAUAAAAAUGAUUCCCUCAGUAACGGCGAGCGAAGAGGGAUAAGCUCAAAUUUUAAAUCUGUUGGGUUUCACCUAACAGAGUUGUAUUUUGAAGAAACGUUUUCUGCGUCCAGGAUUAGCCUAAAUCCUUUGGGAUAAGGUAUCAUGGAGGGUGAGAAUCCCGUUCAUGGUUAAUCUUAAGGAUGCUCUACGAUACGUUCUCCAAGAGUCGAGUUGUUUGGGAUUGCAGCUCAAAAUGGGAGGUAAAUUUCUCCUAAGGCUAAAUAUUGGCGAGAGACCGAUAGCGAACAAGUACCGUGAGGGAAAGAUGAAAAGAACUCUGAAAAGAGAGUUAAACAGUACGUGAAAUUGUUGAAAGGGAAACGAUUGAAGUCAGUCAUACCAACGGGAAAUCAACCUCUUGAGUUUGGUCUCGUGGGUUUCGAAGAGUUUAAAAGCCUUCGGAUUUUCGAGAUUGGGUUCUUCUGGUGUACUUUCUCGUACGGUUAGUCAACAUCGGUUUUGAAUGUCAUAAAAUGACUGGAGGAAUGUGGCUUCGAUCUCGUAUUGAAGUGUUAUAGCUUUUGGUAGAUGUGAUGUUCGAGGCCGAGGAUUGUAACGGAUACCCUUCUGGGCUAUUCGUCUGAUCUCUGAAACGUUGCCUUGAUGUCGAAAGCUUGCUUAUGAUGUUAGGGUAUUACGAUCAAAAGGUUAGAACGGAUUAAAUUCGUUAAGGAUGUUGACGUAAUGACUUUAAACGAC